rnacentral:rRNA from 1 species
AUUGAACGCUGGCGGCAGGCCUAACACAUGCAAGUCGAGCGAGCGGAGGACGGGUGAGUAAUGUCUGGGAAACUGCCUGAUGGAGGGGGAUAACUACUGGAAACGGUAGCUAAUAACGCAUACCAUCAGAUGUGCCCAGAUGGGAUUAGCUAGUAGGUGGGGUAACGGCUCACCUAGGCGACGAUCUCUAGCUGGUCUGAGAGUAUGACCAGCCCCACUGGAAGUGAGACACUGUCCAGAAUCCUACGGGAGGCAGCAGAGAGGAAUAUUGCACAAUGGGCGCAAGUCUGAUGCAGCCAUGCCGCGAGUGUGAAGAAGGCCUUCGGGUUGUAAAGCACUUUCAGCGGGGAGGCGUUACCCGCAGAAGAAGCACCGGCUAACUCCGUGACAGCAGCCGCGGUAAUAC